rnacentral:rRNA from 1 species
UGAGGAAUAUUGGUCAAUGGACGCAAGUCUGAACCAGCCAAGUAGCGUGCAGGAUGACGGCCCUAUGGGUUGUAAACUGCUUUUAUGCGGGGAUAAAGUGUGGGACGUGUCCCAUAUUGUAGGUACCGCAUGAAUAAGCAUCGGCUAACUCCGUGCCAGCAGCCGCGGUAAUACGGGGGAUGCGAGCGUUAUCCGGAUUCAUUGGGUUUAAAGGGUGCGUAGGCGGCCGAGUAAGUCAGCGGUGAAAGACCGGGGCUCAACCCUGGAAGUGCCGUUGAUACUGUUUGGCUGGAAUGAUCCCGCCGCGGGAGGAAUGAGUGGUGUAGCGGUGAAAUGCAUAGAUAU